rnacentral:tRNA from 1 species
GCGGGUGUAGUUUAGUGGCAAAACUACAGCCUUCCAAGCUGUUGUCGCGAGUUCGAUUCUCGUCACCCGCU